UUUCGGGCUUGUUUAUCGAAAAUGAAAUUUGUGCAACCUCUGCGAAGAAAAUGAAACUGUUGGUGGACCAACCAACCGACAGACAGACAGGAGCAAAGCAAUAUGCCCUCCCUUCUUCGAAGGGGGCCAUAAAAAUGUGCGAGUUGUAUUUAACACACAAUGUGUAGAUAAGUGGUAAAGAAAGGACGUACUUAAAGCUCAGUUUACACUUAAAAGACAAUACCUGUCUACAAAAUAUACAUAAACACGUGUUACCAAGAAAUACCGCUCGGUGAGAGAAUGCACGGCAGAAUACUUGAUAGAACGCCGAAAAAAUUACCAUUCACGUGUACAGAAGACCUACGGUUGUCGUGUGUGUCAGAAGUCUUUUUUUUUUUGGUCAUCGAAUCAAUAUGUUGUGGUCAGCUAAGCACGGCAUAUACAUGUACACAGUAAUGUUUGGACAUAAAAAGGCUCAAGACAAGAGAAAAGCCAAGUCUGGAGUCCUAAACUUGCAUUUUUACAUGAUCACUCCAUUUACAACUGCAUUGACGGCGACGUAUUUUUUUACAAUCUAAUUACUAUUUUUUGGUGCUACAUAAUUUUUUCCAUGUAGAUAUAAGCAAUGCAGGUGUUUGAUAUUUGUGUAAUUGAUCAUGCAGUAAUUAAAUAAUAAAACUCGU
rnacentral:sRNA from 1 species